GACAAAACUGCUCCUCGUCCUGCAUCCCCGCUGCUACUUCCAGAACUCAGGGCUCGUGGUCUGGAGCCUGCACUGUUCCAUGAGCCUCCUGACCAACCUGGAAGCCUCUGUCUUUCCUCCCUCAGUGAGAUGCACCUACUUCUCCCUGGAGAAGCUCGAGGAAGCAGGAAUACUGAAGAUGAGGGCUGUUUUGGACUCAGUAUUCACCUAAGCACUCCAAACUACCCAGCACACCCUGCCUGCGCAGCUCUGUGCUGCACCUUCACUCUAGUCACGGGUGUGGCAGUCAGCUCACCAAUUCCUCCUGCUUCCCUGGGACUCGCUGGCUUUUAGCACCGCAAGUCCCUCAGCAAACUGGGACUGUUGAUCACCCUACCCGGCAGCCAGUGAUAAGGCAUCUGCCCUGCCUGGAUCUCCUCGCCUUCCAGGAACUUCCUCUUCACAAGCCGCGGCCAUCCCAGCAAAAGUUCUAACAUCGAAGGUCUAGCAGCUAGCCUGCCAUCUUGUGCCUAGAGCCACCUGCGUGCCACCUACCCCCGAAGAUGGGAACCUCGUUGCCAGCUGCGGAGAUGCAGGGCAAUCCUGUACCAAGACCCCAUCUAACCACCUGUUUUCUCGGACCACUCUGGAACCCACCGUCUCAGAUUGGGUCCUCCAGGAAGCAGACUGUGAGAGCGAGUUGGCAGGACCAAAGGCCACCCGAGAGCUGCUUUCAUCUUGUGUGUGCGUUAGACAACUGCCAGGGGCAUGAAGGGGAUGUGCUUCCAGGGCAUUUGCUGGCAGGGUGUCUCGUGAUCUCUUGGUAUUGGUGUGAGCACAGCCUGGCAGGAGAGGGCAGAUCUCAGUGCAAAGUAUCAUGUCAAAAAGCAGAUCGAAGCCAGGCCCCCUCCUGGAAGAGGCUCCUUGAAGGCAAACUGGUUCUCUUCCUGAGGAGAAUUCAUUGAUUCACUCAUGUGGCCAGCUCCUGGGACCACAUUAUCAUUCUCUUCACUCAAGAGAUGAGGAUGCUGAAAUUCAGAGAGGGGAAGUGAUUUGCCUCAGCUUGUGCUAAAGAAACAUUUCAACAGAGAACCCAGUGGAAAUUAUGACAUGUUAUCUUCUCAGAGUCCUGAACUCCCAUCCCUACCUCAGAAGAGACUCCUCUGUUCACAGAAGCUAAAGGCAGUUCCUUCCCAGUGGCAACUAUGUUUGGAUGUUGGAUCUACACUUUCUCAAGCACUGUGAUCUUCAAAUUGUAUUUCACUGAACAAAAUUUUUUAAUUUGGAUAAAGUCCAAUUUAUCAACUUCUGUUUUUAUGGAUCAUGCUUUUGAUGUCAUAUCUAAGUACUCUUCAAGCAACUCAAGUUAUCUUUGGACCGGGCAUGGUGGCUCACGCCUGUAAUCUCAGCACUUUGGGAUGCCGAGGCGGGCGGACCACCUGAGGUUGGGAGUUUGAGACCAGCCUGACCAACAUGGAGAAACCCCGUCUCUACUGAAAAUACAAAAUUAGCUGGGUGUGGUGGCGCUUUCCUGUAAUCCCAGCUACUCGGGAGGCUGAGGCAGGAGAAUCGCUUGAACCUGGUAGAUGGAGGUUGCGGUGAGCCAAGAUCGUGCCAUCGCAUUCCAGGCUGGGCAACAAGAGCAAAACUCCGUCUCAAAAAAAAAAAAAAAAAAAAAAA
rnacentral:lncRNA from 1 species